AAUCCAUGUAUCCAGUAAGGAUCAAAUUCUUAGAACCAUACACGAGCAUGUAGUUCCUCGUUCUUUGUAGAUACUUGAGAAUAUUCUUAAUGGUGGUCUAGUGAUAAAAUCAAGGAUUAGACUGAUAUCUACUAACUAUCCCACCACAUAGCAGUUGUCAGAUCUAGUACAUAACAUCACAUACAUCAGGUUGUCAACAGCCGAUGCAUAGGUGAUUUGUCUCAUUUCCUCAACCUCUUGAGGUGUCUAAAGACACUGCUCGUUAGACAAUAUUACUCCAUGUCUGAAAGGUAGUAAGCCUCUCUUGAUGUUUUGCAGCGAAUACUUGACAAGUAUCUUGUCAAUAUACGAUGCUUGAGACAGAGCUAGCACUACAAGAAAAACCACUUUUAUUGACGUUUGCAGUUUUAAAUACCUGAGGUUUUUAUGAAAAAUAAUGUCAAGAAAUAGGUAUUUUAAAGAAAAAAAACAUCAAGAAUUGUUUUAAAAAAGUAGAGGUUGUGCAUCUUUUUCGGAAAAUACAGUACUCGACGUUUUAAAAAUAUCAAGUUCAAUUAAUGGUUUCUUGACGUUUUGAAAACACCAAGAAUACUAGAAUAUACAGGGAAACGUUGCAACACUACAGAUUUUAACGAAAACAUGGAAAAAGUGGAAAAUGUGCGCGUCACGCUCUCAAUAGCAUUGUAACGCUACGGGUUUCGACGGAAAAAUAGCUUGAGGUUCCAAGCUUCGAGCUUCGUUUAAUUCUAUAAUUCCCCCAAAAUCCUCUUCCUCUCUGUCGAUUUGCCGUUCCAAUUCGCAAACCACUUACAAUAUUCAUCCAGAAAUUCGGUAUCGUCCUCGCCAUGGAAUGUACCAAUGCCAAUGAAACCCUGUACUGUGCUCUACAGAACCAAGCACUGGAGCAUUACUAAUUAUUACCCAUGGGGGAUCUCUUUGGCUUUUCUCUACAUGAAUCGAUUGUCCGAGCUUCUGAUUCACAAACCUGGCAAGGAGAUGAUUGUUCUUCACGAUCGUGGAAACCUACAACAGUGGAGGAUGGAAGCAUUAUCUUCAAGAAAUCACAGAGUUUCAGGUUUUGUGAAAAGGGUAUCAUGAUCGAAGGAGAAACAGAAUCAUGCCAGAGAAUAUUUGAGGAUUGUGUUCAUUGAUUGGGCAACACAUCACCUCCAACGGUGGUGUCGUAAUUGCUGAAGAACUUGCACCAUAUCUGGAUUUGUCAGAGGGGAACAUUGAUGAUGAGUCGUACAUUUUACCAGUUCUUUUACGUUUUGAUGGCCAACGUGAAAUUGAUGAAGAGAACCUAUCGAAUGAUCAUUCUUAUCAGGCGACUUCAUGGGAAGAAGCAAGAAACGGAAAAAAUAAUGAAUAUUUUGAUGAAGCUACUCGAGAAUGUGUUAAUCGGAUUGAUAAAUUGGUUGAAGUCUAUGAAGGUGAAGAUGUUUUGACCAAAGUAUUGGGUACAGAGGAAUAUUGGGGACGUGUUAGAGGAAUGAGUGAUUUUGUUUUCCAUUCUUAAUAUUUCAAAUUAGUAAAACCAAAGUUCUCAAUGAGCCAAAGAAUUGAAGGAGGCUCUAACGAAAAAAAAUGUUUGACAUGGUAAAGUAUUAAGAGAAAGAACUCACAGGAGACAAUCUUAUCAGUCCAAAUCAUCUGUUGGAAGUGUUGCACUAAGUACAUCUGAAGAAGAAGAUAUUAAGAAGAUGCCUGAAGAAGAUUUGGAGGUAAUUUAUUUGUUAUGACUUUUAAAUUUUAAUCAUAUUGUACGUGUUUAACCAUGCGUGACAUAAGUUCUUUUAAAUUUGUUAAGGGGACACCAUGCCACUUGGCUAUAAGAACUGUAGAUAACAUUGUUGUAGUAGCCACAACAUUUGAUGAUGAUGUAUCAUGCUUAACUGUUAAAGUUCUGAUUGACAUUGUCAUUGGAGAAGAUUUGCAUAUACCAAUUCCUGUGAAGGGUAAAAUAGAGUCCUUAAAUCAAGCAAUAGGUAACUUCGUAAAAUGGCCUCGUGAACUUGUAGUUAUGGUUGACGAGAAAAAAGUAUGUCUCUUUUUCAGUAUAUGAGUUUGGUUAUUUAUUAUUUUUCCUACUUUGAAUUUUUGUAACUUUGGUUAUGGUAGGACCAUUCAACAAUUAAGAGUUUCAGCCAGUCCUCUAAAUAUACUGACGCCAAUGGUACCAUCAAACUCUUGAAUGGACAUGUCAUGCAUAACAUGAAUGAUGUAGACAUGAUCCGUAUCACUUUGGACGAGCAUAUAUUUGGAAGAGACAAAUUUAUUUAUUUAGGCACGAUGAUCUGACCCAAUAUUGCAAUAUGGUUGAAAUAGGCUACAUGUGUAUUUUGACAUAUAUUGUGUAAGUAUUAGUCAUCUAGAUUCACUCAUGUAUACUUUGUUUCAUGUUUAAAUAAUAAAUUUUAAUUUGUUUAGGUAUCUUUGGGAUGAAUGUGGUUGUGAUAUUACGAAGAAGUUUUUUUUUUUUUAUAAUUUAUCAAGCAAGAAUAUCGCCACACGUGAAGUCUCAAGAUAUUCGAUCUAGAAAUUUAGUCAAUCAACUACAAUUGGCUAAUUUAGACUAAUUAGUCCUUAUUCCAUAUAACACAGGGUAAGUAAAUACAAGUUCUUAAGUUAUUUUUAAUUUACAUUAUACACGUACUAAUAUUUCAAAAUUGUUGCUUAUUAUAGUUAUCAUUGGAUAUUGAUUGUAAUCAAUCUACAAGAAAAUUGUGUUUAUAUUUUGGACUCUCUUUGAAGUAAGGUUCAAGAGGAUUUUCAUGGAGUUAUAAAUAUUGAAUUGAAAACAUGGCAAGCCAAGCACGAUCUCUAACACCAUCGGUCUUCUCCAAAAUGGAAACCUGCAAAAGUUCAAUACAAAAAAUGCAUAUACCCAAGGAGAGAUUGACGUAAUUCGAACCCAAUUAGCAAGUUUUGUUGGCAGUUUUGUGUAAGGAUGUAAUUCUUGUUUUUUUUUUUUUUUUUUCUUGUCUUAAUAGAAUAUAAAUACUAGUUUAGAAUGA